rnacentral:rRNA from 1 species
AUUGAACGCUGGCGGCAGGCCUAACACAUGCAAGUCGAACGGUAACAGGAAGAAGCUUGCUUCUUUGCUGACGAGUGGCGGACGGGUGAGUAAUGUCUGGGAAACUGCCUGAUGGAGGGGGAUAACUACUGGAAACGGUAGCUAAUACCGCAUAACGUCGCAAGACCAAAGAGGGGGACCUUCGGGCCUCUUGCCAUCGGAUGUGCCCAGAUGGGAUUAGCUAGUAGGUGGGGUAACGGCUCACCUAGGCGACGAUCCCUAGCUGGUCUGAGAGGAUGACCCGCCACACUUGAACUGAGACACGGUCCAGACUCCUACGGGAGGCAGCAGUGGGGAAUAUUGCACAACGGGCGCAAGCCUGAUGCAGCCAUGCCGCGUGUAUGAAGAAGGCCUUCGGGUUGUAAAGUACUUUCAGCGGGGAGGAAGGGAGUAAAGUUAAUACCUUUGCUCAUUGACGUUACCCGCAGAAGAAGCACCGGCUAACUCCGUG